rnacentral:rRNA from 1 species
UACGAAGGGGACUAGCGUUGUCCGGAAUCACUGGGCGUAAAGGGCGCGUAGGCGGCCUGAUAAGUAGGGGGUGAAAUCCUGCGGCUUAACCGCAGGGCUGCCUUCUAAACUGUCAGGCUCGAGCACAGUAGAGGCAGGUGGAAUUCUCGGUGUAGAGGUGAAAUUCGUAGAUAUCGAGAGGAACACCGGUGGCGAAGGCGGCGAUCUGGACGAUGACUGACGCUGAGACGCGAAAGCGUGGGGAGCAAACAGG